AUUCAUAUAUAUAUAUAUAUUUACAUAUAUUCCACCGCUUCAUCACUUCAUGCGAGAAAAAUAAGGAGGAAAGAAAAUAUAUAUUUAUAAGGACGAUGAUGAUGAUGAUGAUGAUGAAGGACUUGUUGUUUAUACCCAGAACAUGGAUUUGUUUAUACCCAAAGGAUGGACUAGCUGUUUGUAGUCAAGAAAUGGUGCAACACACAGGUUAUAAUUAUUUCUAUAACAUAACAAUUUCAAGGUUCUGUUGGAACUCCUGGAGUCUUACAUGCAUAGUAGGUUUGCUGCCUUCAGCAUAUGGUACCAUGCUAUCUGUUCCUUUCAACUAUCUAAUACUUUCCUGAUUAUUCUGGCCAGGCCAAGGAGAGACAUUAUGCUGAAUUUGUUUGUCGGUUGAGUAAGAAAAUAACAGGACAACCAAUUUUUGGCACCAGUUCGUAGUCAGACAGAUAUACAGACAGAUGGACCGUUGUAAGGAAGAAACUAACAAUGGGUCAGACUCCAUCUAGAACAACAACAACAACAACGAUGACGAUGAUGAUGAUGACGACAACAACAACAGAAAUUAUAACCUUUUGAAGUUUCCACAGGAAGAUAAAGAUAAUGUGAGGGAGAGAUAAUAUUUAACAAUUACAGCCAAAACCAACACCACCACCAACACCAACAAUAAAAACAACCAUGGCUACUACAACAACUACAUCAACAACAAUAGAAACAAGUACACUAACAAUGAAGGCAAUAGCUACAACAACUAUUGCAGAGAAUA